AUGUCAUGGUGAGGACAUUGUCUAAGCAACUCCUUGAAUCUUUCUCAAGCAUCAAAUAGAGACUCAUCCUCUCCUUGCCUAUACUAGGAUAUCUCAUUUCUCAUUUU